rnacentral:rRNA from 1 species
GACGAACGCUGGCGGCGUGCUUAACGCAUGCAAGUCGAACGGUGAACUCCGCUUGCGGGGGGAUCAGUGGCGAACGGGUGAGUAACACGUGGGCAACCUGCCCUCAGCUCUGGGAUAACUCCAAGAAAUUGGGGCUAAUACCGGAUAUGACCGCUGACCGCAUGGUCUGGUGGUGGAAAGAUUUAUCGGCUGGGGAUGGGCCCGCGGCCUAUCAGCUUGUUGGUGGGGUAGUGGCCUACCAAGGCGACGACGGGUAGCCGGCCUGAGAGGGUGACCGGCCACACUGGGACUGAGACACGGCCCAGACUCCUACGGGAGGCAGCAGUGGGGAAUAUUGCGCAAUGGGCGAAAGCCUGACGCAGCGACGCCGCGUGGGGGAUGACGGCCUUCGGGUUGUAAACCUCUUUCAGCAGGGACGAAGCGAAAGUGACGGUACCUGCAGAAGAAGCACCGGCCAACUACGUG